GCCCCUGUCGUCUAGCCUGGUCUAGGACAUCGCCCUUUCAAGGCGGCAGCACGGGUUCGAAUCCCGUCGGGGGCG
rnacentral:tRNA from 1 species